GUCUAUGGCCAUACCACCCUCUUCUCAUCUGAUCUUGGAAGCUGAGCAGGGAAAGGCCUGGUUAGUACAUGGAUAGGAGACCACCUGGGUAUAUCAGGUGCUGUAGGCU
rnacentral:rRNA from 1 species